CCUGGGAGGCCUCACAGGUCACAGAGCCCACCUUCCUCCACUGGUCUGCAGGGAGCCUCAGGGUGCUGCUCCAGCUGUAGAGGCCUUUCAGAGCCACUGACACACCAGCAGCACAACGAUGAUGUCACUGACUCUACUGCUGACCAUCCUGGGGCUCCUGGUUCAGGGUUCCUCAGCAGUCAUCACCCUGACUCAGACUCCAGGAUCUCAGUCUGUUACUCCAGGACAGACCGUCUCCAUUAGCUGUAAAGCCAGUUCAGCUGUUGAUGAUGAUUUGCACUGGUACCUCCAGAAACCUGGAGAAGCUCCUACACUCCUAAUCUAUGAAGCUUCUUCACGUUGGACCGGAGUGUCUGAUCGUUUCACUGCAAGUGGAUAUGAUAUUGAUUUCACUCUGACCAUCAGCAGAGUUCAGGCUGGAGAUGCAGGAGUUUAUUACUGUCAGCAUGACGAGGAAGUCCCGUUCACAUAGUGAAACAAUGCUGUACAAAAACCUCACGGCUGCAGAGGAACUGAUCCACAGCUGCACUGGAACACAAAUUGUACAUAUGGGGAAUAAAAUAAAAAUG